AGUGAACGCUGGCGGCAUGCUUUACACAUGCAAGUCGAACGGUAACAGGGUGCUUGCACCGCUGACGAGUGGCGAACGGGUGAGUAAUGCGUCGGAACGUGCCGAGUAGUGGGGGAUAACGCAGCGAAAGUUGUGCUAAUACCGCAUACGUACUGAGGUAGAAAGUGGGGGACCUUCGGGCCUCACGCUAUUCGAGCGGCCGCGGUCUGAUUAGCUAGUAGGUGGGGUAAAGGCUCACCUAGGCGACGAUCAGGAGCGGGUCGGAGGGGAUGAUCCGCCACACUGGGACUGAGACACGGCCCAGACUCCUACGGGAGGCAGCAGUGGGGAAUUUUGGACAAUGGGCGAAAGCCUGAUCCAGCCAUGCCGCGUGUCUGAAGAAGGCCUUCGGGUUGUAAAGGACUUUUGUCAGGGAGGAAAUCCCUAGUGCUAAUAACACUGGGGGAUGACAGUACCUGAAGAAUAAGCACCGGCUAACUACGUGCCAGCCGCCGCGGUAACAC
rnacentral:rRNA from 1 species